rnacentral:pre_miRNA from 1 species
CUUGCUUAAGGCAUAGACACAGCUUGGGGGUUCCGUCGCGUCCUUAACACGCGAACAUUCUGUGGUUGCGUGAUCGCCGAGGCAU